UACAGAGGGGGCAAGCGUUGUUCGGAAUUACUGGGCGUAAAGGGCGCGUAGGCGGAAUGGCAAGUCGGUCGUGAAAUCCUUCGGCUCAACCGAAGAACGUCGAUCGAAACUGCCGUUCUUGAGGAUUGGCAGAGGAGACUGGAAUUCCCGGUGUAGCGGUGAAAUGCGCAGAUAUCAGGAGGAACACCGGUGGCGAAGGCGGGUCUUUGGGCCGGAUACUGACGCUGAGGAGCGAAAGCGUGGGGAGCGAACAGGA
rnacentral:rRNA from 1 species